GACGAACGCUGGCGGCGUGCCUAAUACAUGCAAGUCGAACGAACUCUGGUAUUGAUUGGUGCUUGCAUCAUGAUUUACAUUUGAGUGAGUGGCGAACUGGUGAGUAACACGUGGGAAACCUGCCCAGAAGCGGGGGAUAACACCUGGAAACAGAUGCUAAUACCGCAUAACAACUUGGACCGCAUGGUCCGAGCUUGAAAGAUGGCUUCGGCUAUCACUUUUGGAUGGUCCCGCGGCGUAUUAGCUAGAUGGUGGGGUAACGGCUCACCAUGGCAAUGAUACGUAGCCGACCUGAGAGGGUAAUCGGCCACAUUGGGACUGAGACACGGCCCAAACUCCUACGGGAGGCAGCAGUAGGGAAUCUUCCACAAUGGACGAAAGUCUGAUGGAGCAACGCCGCGUGAGUGAAGAAGGGUUUCGGCUCGUAAAACUCUGUUGUUAAAGAAGAACAUAUCUGAGAGUAACUGUUCAGGUAUUGACGGUAUUUAACCAGAAAGCCACGGCUAACUACGUGCCAGCAGCCGCGGUAAUACGUAGGUGGCAAGCGUUGUCCGGAUUUAUUGGGCGUAAAGCGAGCGCAGGCGGUUUUUUAAGUCUGAUGUGAAAGCCUUCGGCUCAACCGAAGAAGUGCAUCGGAAACUGGGAAACUUGAGUGCAGAAGAGGACAGUGGAACUCCAUGUGUAGCGGUGAAAUGCGUAGAUAUAUGGAAGAACACCAGUGGCGAAGGCGGCUGUCUGGUCUGUAACUGACGCUGAGGCUCGAAAGUAUGGGUAGCAAACAGGAUUAGAUACCCUGGUAGUCCAUACCGUAAACGAUGAAUGCUAAGUGUUGGAGGGUUUCCGCCCUUCAGUGCUGCAGCUAACGCAUUAAGCAUUCCGCCUGGGGAGUACGGCCGCAAGGCUGAAACUCAAAGGAAUUGACGGGGGCCCGCACAAGCGGUGGAGCAUGUGGUUUAAUUCGAAGCUACGCGAAGAACCUUACCAGGUCUUGGCAUACUAUGCAAAUCUAAGAGAUUAGACGUUCCCUUCGGGGACAUGGAUACAGGUGGUGCAUGGUUGUCGUCAGCUCGUGUCGUGAGAUGUUGGGUUAAGUCCCGCAACGAGCGCAACCCUUAUUAUCAGUUGCCAGCAUUAAGUUGGGCACUCUGGUGAGACUGCCGGUGACAAACCGGAGGAAGGUGGGGAUGACGUCAAAUCAUCAUGCCCCUUAUGACCUGGGCUACACACGUGCUACAAUGGAUGGUACAACGAGUUGCGAACUCGCGAGAGUAAGCUAAUCUCUUAAAGCCAUUCUCAGUUCGGAUUGUAGGCUGCAACUCGCCUACAUGAAGUCGGAAUCGCUAGUAAUCGCGGAUCAGCAUGCCGCGGUGAAUACGUUCCCGGGCCUUGUACACACCGCCCGUCACACCAUGAGAGUUUGUAACACCCAAAGUCGGUGGGGUAACCUUUUAGGAACCAGCCGCCUAAGGUGGGACAGAUGAUUAGGGUG
rnacentral:rRNA from 1 species